rnacentral:rRNA from 1 species
GGGGACAACCCGCCGAAAGGCGGGCUAAACCCGCGUACAUGCCACCGGGGCAUCCCGGAGGCAGGAAAGGCUUCGGCCGGACAGGGAUGGGCAUGCGGCGCAUUAGGCAGUAGGCGGGGUAACGGCCCACCUAACCGACGAUGCGUAGGGGUUCUGAGAGGAAGGUCCCCCACACUGGUACUGAGACACGGACCAGACUCCUACGGGAGGCAGCAGUGAGGAAUAUUGGUCAAUGGUCGGGAGACUGAACCAGCCAAGCCGCGUGAGGGAUGAAGGUACAGAGUAUCGUAAACCUCUUUUGUCAGGGAACAAAGGCGGGGACGUGUCCCCGGAUGAGUGUACCUGAAGAAAAAGCAUCGGCUAACUCCGUGCCAGCAGCCGCAGUAAUACGGAGGAUGCGAGCGUUAUCCGGAUUUAUUGGGUUUAAAGGGUGCGCAGGCGGUCUGUUAAGUCAGCGGUCAAAGCCCGGGGCUCAACCCCGGCCCGCCGUUGAAACUGGCAGUCUCGAGUUGGAGAGAAGUAUGCGGAAUGCGCGGUGUAGCGGUGAAAUGCAUAGAUAUCGCGCAGAACUCCGAUUGCGAAGGCAGCAUGCCGGCUCCACACUGACGCUGAGGCACGAAAGCGUGGGUAUCGAACAGGAUUAGAUACCCUGGUAGUCCACGCAGUAAACGAUGAA